GACAGAGGGUGCAAACGUUGUUCGGAAUUACUGGGCGUAAAGCGUGUGUAGGCGGCUUUGCAAGUCGGAUGUGAAAGCCCGGGGCUCAACCCCGGAAGUGCACUCGAUACUGCAGAACUAGAGUCUCGGAGAGGUUGGUGGAAUUCUCGGUGUAGAGGUGAAAUGCGUAGAUAUCGAGAGGAACACCGGUGGCGAAGGCGGCCAACUGGACGAAGACUGACGCUGAGACACGAAAGCGUGGGGAGCAAACAGG
rnacentral:rRNA from 1 species